CUGGCUCAGAUUGAACGCUGGCGGCGUGCUUAACACAUGCAAGUCGCGCGUGAAAGGACUUCGGUCCGAGUAAAGCGGCGCACGGGUGAGUAACGCGUGGAUGAUCUACCCAUGAGUUAGGAAUAACGGCUGGAAACGGUCGCUAAUACCAAAUACGCUCCGAUUUCAACUUCGGGGGAAAGGUGGCCUCUGCUUGCAAGCUACUGCUCAUGGAUGAGUCCGCGUCCCAUUAGCUAGUUGGUGGGGUAACGGCCCACCAAGGCGACGAUGGGUAGCCGGUCUGAGAGGAUGACCGGCCACACUGGGACUGGAACACGGCCCAGACUCCUACGGGAGGCAGCAGUGGGGAAUAUUGCGCAAUGGGCGAAAGCCUGACGCAGCGACGCCGCGUGAAGGGAUGAAGGUCCUCGGAUCGUAAACCUCUGUCAGGAGGGAAGAACCGCCACGGUGCUAAUCAGCCGUGGUCUGACGGUACCUCCAAAGGAAGCACCGGCUAACUCCGUGCCAGCCGCUGC
rnacentral:rRNA from 1 species